rnacentral:lncRNA from 1 species
UUUAUGGAGACAAAAGAAUACCGAAAAUGGAUUUAUUAAUACAAUUUGGAAACUCUCAAAUACAAAAGUAUUUCUUACAAACACUCCUUACACUCAAUACUUGCUUGAAAACUUGAUAAUAACCAAAUGAAUUACAAAGCCUAUUUAUACUAGUUAACCCCUAGUAUGAACAAAUAAUGUGAAACAAAGAACCAAAAAUCUAACACACCAUGGCCGGUGCCUAACCUUGGUAGGUGAAGUUUAUUUUAAAAUCCCAUUUUAACAACUAAAACAUGUGUUUCAAAAGACAUGGCCGGUGGUCAAUGUUUUUGGAUAAAUUAUUAUUUCAACAAAGCGAGAAGUAUGAACUUGAUAGACGAGGAUUUUGAUUGAUUCUGCUUUGAGUCGAAUACAGGUGAAUCCGGCAAUGAAAAUUCAAAGAAAUAGCAGCUACAGUGCGACAAGAUGCAAAAAUCAUGAACUCGUACUCGAACGGCCAAUUCGAUCUCGGCUCAAUAAACCUACAUGUUGAAACAAAAAUUCAAAAUUCAAAUUGAAGAAUGCAGAACUAUGCUGUAUGAUUUUUUGUAUUUUUUGAUUUCGAAAUCUAAAAAUGAAAUUCGAACAAGAGUCUAUACCCAAACUAUUUUUUUGGUAGUAUUUUUGUUUUUCUGGAGUUCAAACCAAACAUAAAAAUCUAAAAACUCCAAAGAACCUUAGAAGUCUUUCGAUCCAAUUUUUCUGAUUUUUUUGUUGACUUUUGAAGUGAAAAAAACAGAAGAAACAAAAAGAGGGUCUCUCAGGUUCAAAACUAAACCCUAGUUUGUUUUUUCCACUCAAUUUCUGUCCUUAAAUCC